UUUUUAGUGUAAGUGUGUCUCAUGCAAUAUUUGAGAAUACUUACACUAAAA
rfam:Macaca mulatta chromosome 3, whole genome shotgun sequence.